rnacentral:rRNA from 1 species
GUAGGGUCCAAGCGUUAUCCGGAAUCACUGGGCGUAAAGCGUGCGUAGGUGGCGUGUUAAGUGUGAUGUUAAAUCGCGGGGCUCAACCCUGUCGAUGCAUCGCAUACUGGCAUGCUAGAGGGAAGCAGAGGCAAGUGGAAUUGGUAGUGUAGCAGUGAAAUGCGUAGAUAUUACCAGGAACACCAAUGGCGAAGGCAGCUUGCUGGGCUUCUUCUGACACUGAGGUACGAAAGCGUGGGGAGCGAACAGGAUUAGAUACCCUGGUAGUCCACGCCGUAAACGAUGCAUACUAGUCUUAUGGGGUAUCGACCCCCUGUGAGACGCAGCUAACGCGAUAAGUAUGCCGCCUGGGAAGUACGGCCGCAAGGCUG